AUUGAACGCUGGCGGCAGGACUAACACAGGCAAGUCGAGCGAGCGGCGGACGGGUGAGUAAUGUCUGGGAAACUGCCUGAUGGAGGGGGAUCACUACUGGAAACGGUAGCUAAUACCGAAUACCAUCAAAUGCGCCCAGAUGGGAUUAGCUAGUAGGUGGGGUAAUGGAUCAACUAGGCGUAGAUCCCUAGCUGGUAUGAGAGGAUGACCAGCCGCCCUGAAACUGAGACACGGUCCUGACUCCCACGCGAUGCAGCAGUGGGGAAAAUUGCACAAUGAGCGAAAGCCUGAUGCAGACAUGCCGCGUGUGUGAAGAAGGACUUCAGGUUGUAAAGCACUUUCAGCGAGGAGGCGUUACUCGCAGAAGAAGGACCGGCUAGCUCCGUGCCAGCCGCCGCUGUAAUAC
rnacentral:rRNA from 1 species